rnacentral:lncRNA from 1 species
AUAGAUUUGGGGUUGCUGUACUGAACCUUGAAUGAAAAAAAAAAAAUCUGUAUUCUGUUAAGGCAUACCUUUCUUGUCAAGAAGACCUUCUACCGAGAAGUUUUUGAAUGAGAAACCACAGAACGGUGAAGUAUUCACCUGCUUCAGAACCCUCACCUCCUGCCUGGAGGUUCUCUGGUCCAUGCAUUGAUCACAUGUAUUCUGGGUGAGCUCUUCAGACUCAUGCUGCUCCUCACAUUCUCCAGGUAUAGAUCUUGCAUUAAUUAAAGCAAGUGGCCCUUUUACUUUCUCCAGAACUCCCGUCACUGUGCAAAUGCAGCCUGAGGGAUAUUUCUUUUUCUCUCCCAGCAAAGAUUGCAUAAGGAUUGCUAGCACGUGGAUCCAGUGCGUGGUGUGCAGCAGCCAAAUAAUCAUGGAUUUAAGAGUCCCUCAGCACUCAUUCACACGCCAGACUGUAACCGCUCUGAUUUUCCCCUUUCAGCAGCUGCAAUACCCAGGCACAAUGGGGGCAACGGAGUCGGUUCAGGAAAAAGAUGAACAGUUUGGAUAGAAGGACAUGGAGCUGGCCACAAAAACUGAUAGCACGAGCUGCCCCUGUUUGGUGGGACAGAUAAUACUGGUGGGGCAACUGGAGCCACCUCGCUCUUCCCUGGGUGUGCUGCACCAGCUGUUGUGGGGUUUCUGCGCCGGCACAUGAGAGCAGAUCUCAGAGAAACAACAGAGAAGUUGCCAGGGGCUGUCUGGGAGUCCGGUGGAUGUGUGUGCAGAGGAAGCAUGAGCCAUUGCACCAGCUAUUUGGCAGUUGAGGAGCACGUCUGCGGAAACCAGGCCUUCUCUGAAAUGUGAGUUAUGCCAUUUCUCAAAACUGCGUGUAGCAAGAAAUGACUGGGAGGCCAGUGAUUCAUUCCGGGUUAAUGUAAAGGUACCAGAGGGGCUAAUAUAAAGGAAGAAAAUUGAUACUGGCUUUGCAGUGUCUGUGUUGCAGAAAUGUGUACAACUGUUUCCCAGGGAAAGAGUGGAACAAUCCAAUGCGAUAUUAAAAACAAAAUAUACCCACCCAACAACAAACAAACAGCCAUGGGGACGUAAGGGAUGGUAACAGUGCUUGGAUAUCUGUAAAUCAGUGCAGACUGCACAGGUAUUUGCUUACUGCCAUACAUUUCAUUGCAGCUGAAAGGAAAGGGCCCUUGUGAGAUGGAAGAAAUGGUACAAGAAAACGUUGCUUGAAUUGUAGCACUGUGAUUGUUGCGUAAAAUACACUCUGGUGUGAAGCCAUUGGAGUUACAUGAGGGAUGGAUUUAACCCUUUGGGAUGAAUACUCUGGGGAAAUUAAAACUAGCUAUAAAAGCUAUAUAUAGUUGAAAAGGCU